GAGAGAACAGCCCUACAGGCACCAGUGUCAGCGCAGAAGGAGGGCAGGAGGAACUCCAGGCACAGCAGCAGCUUCCUGCAGCCCAGGAACGGCCCACAAAGGAGUAGGCUGUCCCUCUGCAGCCCCUGAGUACCUUGCGGAGCAGAUCUCCCCGUGAAGCUACGGAGGAGCCGGCGGGGCAGCCAUGAAUGAGGCCUGAAGGAGGCACAGCCCUGGGUACCCCCGCGGGAGCGGCCCGGGCCGGAGCUGCCGCCCGUGAGGACCGGUGUAGAGCAGUGCCUGAAAGGUGGGCACCGUGGUACGGAGCCCUGUUGGAGCAGUGCUGGGAGAGCUGCAGUCUGUGGGAAACCCACGCAGGAUCAGUUCAGGAAGGACGGCACGCUGUGGGAGGGAUCCACGUGGAGAGGAGGCAGAGAGAGACCAUGGAGGAGCAGCAGAGACCAAGUGUUACAGACUGACCACUGCCACAUUCCUCAUUACCCUGCGCCACUUGUAGGAAUGAGGUGGGGAUGUCUUUGCAGUGCCACACCUGCAGAGAAUGGGAGGGAGUGAAGGCACUCAGUGGCAUGUGAUACUUACCUAAUAAGACUAUGUGAAACACUAAAGUCUUGAAGAU
rnacentral:lncRNA from 1 species